GUUAGGGUUUUGUCCACUGUGAGGUGUCCAAUCUGAUUUUUUUGGGGGGGUUUUGGCAUUGAUCUUUUCCUGAAUGUUGUCAGAGAAUGAGUUGUUGUUGGGAGUGGGUUCAGUUUGGUCGUGGAAAUAUUGCUUGAGGCGGAGGCAUCAGAAGAAUUCUCCUAGUUCUCCACACUGAAGUAUUUUAUUAGGGUAUUUUUCUGGACAGAAAUUAGACCAACACAGAUA